AACGAACGCUGGCGGCAUGCCUAACACAUGCAAGUCGAACGAGAUCUUCGGGUCUAGUGGCGCACGGGUGCGUAACGCGUGGGAAUCUGCCCUUUGGUUCGGAACAACAGUUGGAAACGACUGCUAAUACCGGAUGAUGACGAAAGUCCAAAGAUUUAUCGCCAGAGGAUGAGCCCGCGUAGGAUUAGCUAGUUGGUGUGGUAAAGGCGCACCAAGGCGACGAUCCUUAGCUGGUCUGAGAGGAUGAUCAGCCACACUGGGACUGAGACACGGCCCAGACUCCUACGGGAGGCAGCAGUGGGGAAUAUUGGACAAUGGGCGAAAGCCUGAUCCAGCAAUGCCGCGUGAGUGAUGAGGGCCUUAGGGUUGUAAAGCUCUUUCACCCGGGAUGAUAAUGACAGUACCGGGAGAAUAAGCUCCGGCUAACUCCGUGCCAGCCGCCGCCGUAA
rnacentral:rRNA from 1 species